rnacentral:rRNA from 1 species
CUCCAAAAAUUCAGCGGUAAUACGGAGGGGGUUAGCGUUGUUCGGAAAUUACUGGGCGUAAAGCGUACGUAGGCGGAUCUUAAAGUUGGUUUUGGAAUCCCGGGGCUCAACCCCGGAACUGCCUCCAAAACUCCUGGUCUUGAGUUCGAGAGAUGUGAGUGGAAUUUCAAUUGUAGAGGUGAAAUUCGUAGAUAUUUGGAGGAACACCAGUGGCGAAGGCGGCUCACUGGCUCGAUACUGACGCUGAGGUACGAAAGUGUGGGGAGCAAACAGGAUUAGAUACCCUGGUAGUCCACACCGUAAACGAUGAAUGCCAGUCGUCGGGCAGUAUGCUGUUCGGUGACACACCUAACGGAUUAAGCAUUCCGCCUGGGGAGUACGGUCGCAAGAUUAAAACUCAAAGGAAUUGACGGGGGCCCGCACAAGCGGUG